rnacentral:rRNA from 1 species
UGUGGCCUACGGGGGGCAGCAGUAGGGAAUCUUCCACAAUGGGCGAAAGCCUGAUGGAGCAACGCCGCGUGGGUGAAGAAGGUCUUCGGAUCGUAAAACCCUGUUGUUAGAGAAGAAAGUGCGUGAGAGUAACUGUUCACGUUUCGACGGUAUCUAACCAGAAAGCCACGGCUAACUACGUGCCAGCAGCCGCGGUAAUACGUAGGGAGCAAGCGUUAUCCGGAAUUAUUGGGUGUAAAGGGUGCGUAGACGGGAUAACAAGUUAGCUGUGAAACCCCUCGGCUCAACUGAGGAACUGCAACUAA